rnacentral:lncRNA from 1 species
AAGGACAGAUAGAAAGAAAACUGUGCUUCCAGGCCUGUUAGGACCAGUUUCCUUCUGUCUGAAAGGAGUCUUGGUGACAGAGCAGAUUCCUUCUCUCAGCUAAGCAGUGGCCAGGCCCAGUGGGUCCUGUGUCCUUCCAAUCCCUCUCAGUGUAUCCCUCCACAGGCACAGAAACUUGUCUCAGGUCAGAAGCCAGUGCUAAAGCAGUUGCCAACUGCCAGCCUGUCUUCCCAUCUCAAUAACCUCCAGAAGAAAGAGUAGCCACAGCCCACAGUCUCUGGAAAUAAUUCUGAAAAGGAACAGGCAACAAAGGAGAAAACUGAAGACUUAAAACAAACAAACAAACAAACAAACAAACAAAAAAAAAACAAAGGAGUGGUUGUAGGAAGAUUUUGACAAUGGCCACUCACUAGGAAAAGGAAAGUUUGUAAAUGUCUAUUUAGCAAGGGAGAAUCAAAGCAAGUUUAUACUGGCCCUGAAGGUACUAUUUAAAACAAUGCUGGAGAAGGCAAGGAUGGACCAUCAGCUGUAAAGAGAAGUGGAGAUACAGUCCCACUUGCAGCACCCUAACAUUCUCAUGCUGUAUAGAUAUUUCCACAAUGCCACCAGAGGUUAUCCAAUUCUAGAAUACAUGCCCCUUGGAACAGUCUACAGAGAGCUUCAAAAACUCUGCAGGCUUGAUGAGCAGAGAACAGCUACUUACAGCACCCAGUAGGCAAACACUCUUUCACUGUUGUCAUCCAGAGACAUUAAACUGUAGAACCUGCUUCUUGAGCUAAACAGAGCUGAAGAUUGCAGACUCUGGGUGCAAUCUUACAAGAGAACCAUGCUGCAUAGCACCCUGAACUGUGUGCUCCCUGGUGAUGACUGAGGACUGGAUGGACAAUAAGGUGUACCUCUGGAGUAUUCUCUACCAUGAGUUCCUAUUGAGGAUGCCUCUUUUUGAGGCACAUAUGCACCAGAAGACAGAAGGAUAUCACCUGUUAAAUUCACAUUCCUUAACUUUGUAGCAGAGGAAUCCAAGGGCCUCAUUUCAAGACUGUUAAAAAACACAACUCUAGUCAAAGGUUAACAUUAUCAAAAGUCCUUGAGUAACCCUGGACCACAGCUAAUUCCUCCAAAUCUCCAACUGUCCACGAAAACAAAGUGCCAACUGGCAAAUCAUUUUAG